UACGGAGGGGACUAGCGUUGUUCGGAAUUACUGGGCGUAAAGCGCACGUAGGCGGAUUUGUAAGUCAGGGGUGAAAUCCCGGGGCUCAACCUCGGAACUGCCUUUGAUACUGCAAAUCUCGAGUCCGGAAGAGGUGAGUGGAAUUCCUAGUGUAGAGGUGAAAUUCGUAGAUAUCGGGAGGAACACCUGUGGCGAAAGCGGCUCACUGGACCGCAACUGACGCUGAGGCGCGAAAGCUAGGGGAGCAAACAGG
rnacentral:rRNA from 1 species